rnacentral:misc_RNA from 1 species
GUAGGUGAACCUGCGGAAGGAUCAUUGACAAAAUCUUUUAUAAAUCUUUGUGAAUCGAGAGUGUAACAGCUUUCAUAUCAACAUUUAAUUUAAGCCUGAUUUCUUUAAAAAAGUAAUUAAAACAACUUUUAACAAUGGAUCUCUUGGCUCUU